GCACUCGUAGCUCAAUUGGAUAGAGCGCCACCCUCCGGAGGUGGAGGUUGUGGGUUCGACCCCCGCCGAGUGCACCA
rnacentral:tRNA from 1 species